GACGAACGCUGGCGGCGUGCCUAAUACAUGCAAGUCGAGCGCAGGAAAUCAUCCGAACCUUUCGGGGGGACGUUGAUGGAAUGAGCGGCGGACGGGUGAGUAACACGUAAAGAACCUGCCCUCAGGUCUGGGAUAACCACGAGAAAUCGGGGCUAAUACCGGAUGGGUAAUCGGACCGCAUGGUCCGAGGAUGAAAGGCGCUUCGGCGUCGCCUGGGGAUGGCUUUGCGGUGCAUUAGCUAGUUGGUGGGGUAAUGGCCCACCAAGGGGACGAUGCAUAGCCGACCUGAGAGGGUGAUCGGCCACACUGGGACUGAGACACGGCCCAGAGUCCUCCGGGAGGCAGCAGUAGGGAAUCUUCCACAAUGGACGAAAGUCUGAUGGAGCAACGCCGCGUGAACGAUGAAGGCCUUCGGGUCGUAAAGUUCUGUUGUAAGGGAAGAACAAGUGCCGCAGGCAAUGGCGGCACCUUGACGGUACCUUGCGAGAAAGCCACGGCUAACUACGUGCCAGCAGCCGCCGUAA
rnacentral:rRNA from 1 species